CAGCUUGCUAGUUGCUGACGAGUGGCGGACGGGUGAGUAAUGCUUGGGAAUUUGCCUUUGGGAGGGGGAUAACCACUGGAAACGGUGGCUAAUACCGCAUAACGUCUACGGACCAAAGGGGGCUUUUAGCUCCCACCUAUAGAGAAGCCCAAGUGAGAUUAGCUAGUUGGUGAGGUAAAGGCUCACCAAGGCGACGAUCUCUAGCUGUUCUGAGAGGAAGAUCAGCCACACUGGAACUGAGACACGGUCCAGACUCCUACGGGAGGCAGCAGUGGGGAAUAUUGCACAAUGGGGGAAACCCUGAUGCAGCCAUGCCGCGUGUGUGAAGAAGGCCUUCGGGUUGUAAAGCACUUUCAGUUGUGAGGAAAGGUUAGUAGUUAAUACCUGCUAGCUGUGACGUUAGCAACAGAAGAAGCACCGGCUAACUCCGUGCCAGCAGCCGCGGUAAUACGGAGGGUGCAAGCGUUAAUCGGAAUUACUGGGCGUAAAGCGCACGCAGGCGGUUUGUUAAGCUAGAUGUGAAAGCCCCGGGCUCAACCUGGGAUGGUCAUUUAGAACUGGCAGACUAGAGUUUUGGAGAGGGGAGUGGAAUUCCAGGUGUAGCGGUGAAAUGCGUAGAUAUCUGGAGGAACAUCAGUGGCGAAGGCGACUCUCUGGCCAAAGACUGACGCUCAUGUGCGAAAGUGUGGGUAGCGAACAGGAUUAGAUACCCUGGUAGUCCACACCGUAAACGCUGUCUACUAGCUGUUUGUGAAUUUAAUUCGUGAGUAGCGAAGCUAACGCGCUAAGUAGACCGCCUGGGGAGUACGGCCGCAAGGUUAAAACUCAAAUGAAUUGACGGGGGCCCGCACAAGCGGUGGAGCAUGUGGUUUAAUUCGAUGCAACGCGAAGAACCUUACCUACACUUGACAUGCAGAGAACUUUCCAGAGAUGGAUUGGUGCCUUCGGGAACUCUGACACAGGUGCUGCAUGGCUGUCGUCAGCUCGUGUCG
rnacentral:rRNA from 1 species